UUAUGGUCAAAGUGACUAUUUUCCAAUUCAUAUUAAUUUGUCUGUUGUGACAAGUGGGAUACACACUUUGCUUUCAGUUUAUGUAUUAACAAUUCAUUGGUAAAGUAUAUAUUAUGUUACAUCCUUUUGAGUUUUAAGCCAUGUAAAGUUGAGGAUUUGUGUGUUUGUGUGUCUGUGUGGGGAUCUUUAACUUUAAAAUAAGAUCACAUGCCAAAAGGCUGUUCGAAAAUAAGAAAAAUAAAAAUAAAAGGUUAUUAAAUAACCUAUAAUACUC
rnacentral:lncRNA from 1 species